UCCAGGAAUAUCAAGGAACUCUGAAUCUAUGAGAUUACCUACAAGGCUGGAAAUAUUUAUUUCCCAUCAUCCCUGGUCAUUGACAUGUACUCAGGGAAAAAAAGGGAAACAGAAGGCA